rnacentral:lncRNA from 1 species
GUGGUUUAGGCUGGAGGCUACAGCUCUGAUUCAGCCCCUAGCCUGGGAAUCUCCAUAUCCUGUGGAUGUGGCCCUAAAAAGAAAAAAAAAAAAGUAGUAAUUCACAAUUUUUAAAGGUUAUAUUCCAUUUAUAAUUAUUAUAGAACAUUUGCUAUAUUCCCCAUGUUGUGCUGUACAAUAUCUCCUUGUAGCUUAUUUUAUACCUACUAGUUUUCACCUCUUAAUCCCCUUCCCCCAUAUUGUCCCUCCCCCUACCAGGAGAGAGGUCAAGGCUGCAUUUGGGGCAGAAUUUGGUGCCAUGGUCAUUCACAGAGAGCAGCAGAUUGGUUUGGGAUAAGGGGCCAGGGACAAAGGUUAUGGUCUUGGCUUUUCUUGUUAUGGUUUUUAUGUCUUUGAUGAGCACUCUCCUUUCUCUAGGCUCAUCUCCUUUCUCAUCUAUAAAACCACUCUUUCUUCUGAACUUCAAACAGCUGUUGGUCGUCUCCAGUGAGACAAGAUACAAGAGAGUUCCUUGUGGAUGACUCCACAGUGUAAGGUAUGGCCACCACCAUUCAUGAUUUUCUCUUAAAGAAAUAUUGAUAAAAGUACCCUCUAGAUUUUUCAGGCAUCAAGGAAAGUUCUUUUUCUCCACGGAAAAGGAGAAUCCUGAAUUAUCGAUUAGAAUCAAACUUUUGACAGCAAGUGAAAUAUUUUUUACAUAUUUAAGUAUGUAAUCCCUGUGUUUUAGAAAUUCACUUAAGGAAUUUUGAGCAACUAGAUCUAGUUGCUGUCUCGUCUUAAUUUCUUAAACAAUGCAUAAAAAUACUUAGAAAGGAGCCUGUAGGUAAAAUGCAUUCAGAGGAGGCACAGUGAGAUUCCUUUCCUCAUAGGCCAGGUCAUUAACAUGGGAAGGAGAGAAUCAGGUUCAUACGACUCUGAGACAAAGAAAGAGGAAAGAAGUGGACUUGAAUCUCCAUGUUGACAGGUGAUAUUGGUUUGCGAUCUGGGCCCAGACACUUUAAAAACCACCAUCUUGCGCUCUACGAAGGUGGCUGCAUUUUUCUCUCCUGGCAUCUUCCACCUUCUUACAUCAAAACUAGUUUUCUCUUCCCCAGAAAGGGGUUGAAGGGAUCUGCCUGUCUUCUGGAAGGUGAAACUGAAGUUCUUUCUGAGCUGGUAAGUGUUUGGGGUUAAAUGCUGUGUUCUCAAAUUGUGCUUUUAACCACAUUUAAUUGGAGGGGCAGCCAUGAUAUCGUUUCCUGAAGCUGGUACCCUUCCACCCCUCUAACUCAGAGUUCUUUUUCUUUUGUUUGAAUUUUCUUGUUGUACUGUUCAAAUUCACGUUUUGCUUGUCUACUGGCUGACAAAGGAUAUUUAAACAGCUUUAUUCAAAGGCUGAAAUGU